ACUGUCUUACAGGGUUCCUUGGAUCUUUGUGCUGUUGUUGAGCAGUGGUGCUUGUUUACCCUUAAAAGAAGAAUACAUAUAUCCCUAUAAGUUGCCCUCGAGCUCUGGUGAUGAAUCUGCUUCUGAUGAUGGACAUGCUCCUUCUCCACGAAGUUUCAAUUACCCUGCAAAAGCUGGUGGCUUCCAGUUUUUUGUCAAUCCUGCAUCCUCAAACUCUGGUGGCCAAGGCCCUUAUCCUACAACAGGUGGUGGUCAACAAGGCAGUGGCGGGCUUGGAACUGUUCCUCAAGGCGGUGCUCCUCGAGGCGGC